GUUUGAUCCUGGCUCAGAUUGAACGCUGGCGGCAUGGCUAAAACAUGCAAGUCGAGGGAGAAACCAGCUUCGGCUGGCGGAAACCGGCGAAAGGGCGAGUAACGCAAUCGAACGUACCCCGAGGUGGAGGAUAAUUCAGGGAAACCUGUUGUAAUACUCCAUGUGCUCUCCGGAGGAAAGCUUCGGCGCCUUGGGAGCGGCGAUUGUCCUAUCAGGUUGUUGGUGAGGUAAUGGCUCACCAAGCCAUAGACGGGUAGCGGGUGUGAGAGCAUGACCCGCCGCAUCGGGACUGAGACACUGCCCGGACUCCUACGGGAGGCUGCAGUAACGAAUAUUCCGCA
rnacentral:rRNA from 1 species